rnacentral:rRNA from 1 species
GACGAACGCUGGCGGCGUGCUUAACACAUGCAAGUCGAACGGAAAGGCCCUGCUUGCAGGGUCCUCGAGUGGCGAACGGGUGAGUAACACGUGGGUGAUCUGCCCUGCACUUCGGGAUAAGCCUGGGAAACUGGGUCUAAUACCGGAUAGGAGCCAUUUUUAGUGUGAUGGUUGGAAAGUUUUUUCGGUGUAGGAUGAGCUCGCGGCCUAUCAGCUUGUUGGUGGGGUAAUGGCCUACCAAGGCGGCGACGGGUAGCCGGCCUGAGAGGGUGGACGGCCACAUUGGGACUGAGAUACGGCCCAGACUCCUACGGGAGGCAGCAGGGGGGAAUAUUGCAAAAUGGGCGCAAGCCUGAUGCAGCGACGCCGCGUGGGGGAUGACGGCCUUCGGGUUGUAAACUCCUUUCGCUAGGGACGAAGCUUUUUGUGACGGUACCUAGAUAAGAAGCACCGGCUAACUACGUG